rnacentral:tRNA from 1 species
UCCUGCAUAGUUCAGUUGGUAAAGCAUCUGCUUGCAAUGCGGGAGACCUGGGUUUAAUUCCUGGGUCAGGAA